GCCUGGCGGGGAGUUUCGGCACCGCCCCGAACCCGCCGUCGCCGUC
rnacentral:SRP_RNA from 13 species